rnacentral:tRNA from 1 species
GGGGAAUUAGCUCAGUUGGCUAGAGCACCUGCUUUGCACGCAGGGGGUCAAGAGUUCGAGUCUCUUAUUCUCCACCA